rnacentral:rRNA from 1 species
GGAAUAUUGGACAAUGGGCGCAAGCCUGACGACGCAACGCCGCGUGGAGGACGAAGACCUUCGGGUCGUAAACUCCUUUCGACCGAGAUGAAUUCUCGCUGACCUAACACGUCGGCGGGGUGACAGUAUCGAGGGAAGCAGCCCCGGCUAACUAC